CACACGACUCUCGGCAACGGAUAUCUCGGCUCUCGCAUCGAUGAAGAACGUAGCGAAAUGCGAUACCUGGUGUGAAUUGCAGAAUCCCGCGAACCAUCGAGUCUUUGAACGCAAGUUGCGCUCGAGGCCACUCGGCCGAGGGCACGCCUGCCUGGGCGUCACGC
rnacentral:rRNA from 1 species